UUCGCAAUGCCCGAAAGGGUGACGAAGCGACGCCGCGUGCGGGAAGAAGGCCUUCGGGUUGUAAACCGCUGUCGGGAGUUAAGAAAUGUAAGGAUGUUAAUAGCAUCUUUGCUUGACUAAGGCUCCGGAGGAAGCCACGGCUAACUCUGUGCCAGCAGCCGCGGUAAUACAGAGGCGGCAAGCGUUGUUCGGAAUUAUUGGGCGUAAAGAGCACGUAGGCGGCUAUGUAAGUCGGUUGUGAAAGCCUUCCGCUCAACGGGAGAACAGCAUCCGAUACUGCAUGGCUUGAGUGCGGGAGGGGAGAGUGGAACUUCUGGUGGAGCGGUGAAAUGCGUAGAUAUCAGAAGGAACGCCGGCGGCGAAAGCGGCUCUCUGGCCCAUAACUGACGCUGAGUGUGCGAAAGCUAGGGGAGCAAACGGGAUUAGAUACCCCGGUAGUCCUAGCCGUAAACGAUGGGCACUAAGUAGAGGGGUUUA
rnacentral:rRNA from 1 species